rnacentral:rRNA from 1 species
CGCGUAGGUGGUAGUGUAAGUCUGGGGUGGAAUCCCAGGGCUUAACCCUGGAACUGCCUUGGAAACUGUAUUACUUGAGUCAGUGAGGGGAGGGUAGAAUUCCUGGUGUAGCGGUGAAAUGCGUAGAUAUCAGGAGGAAGGCCCGUGGCGAAGGCGGCCCUCUGGCGCUGGACUGACACUGAGGCGCGAAAGCGUGGGGAGCAAACAGGAUUAGAUACCCUGGUAGUCCACGCCCUAAACGGUGGGCACUAGGUGUAGGGCUCGUAAGGGUUCUGUGCCGAAGGGAAACCAUUAAGUGCCCCCGCCUGGGGAGUACGGCCGCAAGGUUGAA